rnacentral:rRNA from 1 species
CCUACGGGUGGCAGCAGUGGGGAAUAUUGCACAAUGGGGGAAACCCUGAUGCAGCGACGCCGCGUGAGCGAGGAAGUAUCUCGGUAUGUAAAGCUCUGUCAGCAGGGAAGAAGAAUGACGGUACCUGAAGAAGAAGCACCGGCUUAAUACGUGCCAGCAGCCGCGGUAAUACGCAUGGUGCAAGCGUUAUCCGGUUUUACUGGGUGUAAAGGGAGCGCAGGCGGUUCUGGAAGUCUGACGUGAAAGCCCGGGGCACAACCCCGGGACUGCAUUUGAAACUGCGGGACUGGAGUGUCGGAGGGGUAAGCGGAAUUCCUGGUGUAGCGGUGAAAUGCGUAGAUAGCAGGAGGAACACCGGUGGCGAAGGCGGCUUACUGGACGCUGACUGACGCUGAGGCUCGAAAGCGUGGGGAGCAAACAGGAUUAGAUACCCUAGUAGUC